UGCGUCGUGCGUCAGGGUGUGUAAUGCGUCAGGGUGUGUAAUGCGUCAGGGUGUGUAAUGCGUCAGGGUGUGUAAUGCGUCAGGGUGUGUAAUGCGCCAGGGUGUGUAGCGUGAAGGAGUGUACAUACAAGACCUGCGGUAUUGUGGUGCCGCAGGUCUCAUGGAUGAUAUUGUUUACGAUUCACAAUUUUAAUAUAUUUUUUUUAUUAAUUAUAUUUCUCGACAGAAUCGUUACCAUCAAUUCGUAAUAAGAAAUAAGUUUCAUAUAAUUUUCAUAUUUAACCAAUAUUAUGUCAACACGGUAAUUACUGUUAAAAAAAUACAAAUGAAAAAAUAAUAACGAAAAAUAAAAGUUGAUUGUCAGAAUAAACGAACAAAAUCGAGAAUCCAAAUUUAUGAAAACACGAUUAUUUAUCCUCUACACUAAUAAUAAAUUCGAGAGUUAUAUAACAAUUGAUUGAAUAUUAAACCAAAUACACAAACAACAACUAAAAUAAUAUCGUAAUUAAAAAAAAAUACUUAAUUUCAAUUAGGAAAAAGUUGAUUUACGCCAAUGACGAGAAGGAGAGAUGGAUUAGCAAGGGAAUAUCUGAUAAUACGGAAUCUGGAUUAAGGGAAUUAAUAUAAACGGAUUAUGGAUUAUAGCCAGUGUGGAUUUUAUAGGAUAAUUUACAUCUUUUUGAAGUGGAUAAUCGUUUAACUAAUGGAUAACAAGAUAAGUAAAUAUAACGACUGUAGUGAAGUUAUCAAGUAGGGUGAUGAAGAAGGUUAAUGAUAGAAAAAUAGAACAAUACAUUUUUUCGAUAACCUGAUGAUUAGACAUCCCAGUUUAUUUCACCUCUAGAUUAACCUAACCUAACACUAUCCUUAUGUAAGUAAAUCUAACCAAACCUAACCUAACCUAACCUGACCUGACCUGACCUGACCUGACCUAUUCUAACCUACAAAACGAUACAAAAUCAAAUUACUAUAUAUAUCUUGAUUUGCCUCAAGAUCAGACACCCCAAAUUAUUUCACCUGAAGAUUAACCACCCAAACGUUAACCCAAAUUAACCUAAUCCUCUUAAGUUGUGUUAGAGUAGUUAACCUUCAAGUGAAAUAAGAUCAGGAGGUUAAUUAACAGGUGACACAGGUAAACUCCAAGUGAUACAUGAUGAAUAACACACAGGUAUUAAUGAUCAUUUACCUGAUGAAUAAUGUAAAUGAAUAAUAAUAAUAAAGCUACGAAUAACUGAUGUAUAAGUGAAGAGACCAAUAGCAGGUUAUUAUAAUUAUCUUUUAAACAUUAUACACUGUGGCUUAAACAUUAACUUAUUCAUGAAAUUACCGGUUUAUAUUUAGUUCUUCUUAGGUUUAUUUCCAGAUCAAAUUGAUUUAUAUUCUACGUUUGACUAAUAAAUCCAUUUUGAUAAGCCAUAAUCAUAAUAUAAACUGCUAGAGGAAGUUGUGAAUAAUAUUAAUGAAAGAUAAAUGUGAAAUAAUCUACUUAACAUAACUCGUAAAUAAAAAAGAAAUAUGAUUCGAAAAGGCAAGUCGCUGAUUGGUUUAGGUUGUGUGACGAAAAGGCAAAGUCGCUGAUUGGCUUAGGUUGUGUGACGUCAUUGAAAGAAAAACAGCUGUGUUCUUGGUUAUAAUGAACGAGUGUAUAAUAUAUUCCUACUUUUUGUUUUCUUCCUCAGCCGAUUAUUUUACAUUUUGGGAAUACUUACAGGAUAAAAAAGACUGUAGUUAUAGAUAAUAGAAUAAGUCCACCCGUCCGAAUUAUAGAGAAUUAUGUGAUGUCCUGAAUAAUAUUAUCUUUCAUCCAAAUUAUACCAGAACAAAUAUUAUUCCUACAACUAAGUAUAAUCUUCUUUGCGUUCGAUAAAUUAUACCAAACUAUCAAAUAAUUACAAGGUUUCUUUGGGUCAAUAUAGAGUUGUUCUAGAAGAUGUCAUUUUGGUGCCGAGGUAGUUAAUGAUGUCAUAGUAUUGACAUCAUGGUCACUCGAUGGUUUUAAUCUCAGGACCAAACUUGAGGAGAUAGGAGAUGUGGCAAGAAGGAGGAGAGAGAGAGAGAGAGAGAGAGAGAGACAGAUUGAUAUUCCAUUCGUGUACAAUAUUUACAAAAGUUGAUGAUUGAUUGAGAUGGCAAGACGCAUCCACUUACCCCUUGUUAAUAGACAAAAAAUAUAUAUAUAUAAAUAAAUAAAUAUAGAUAUUUUAAACUUUCAAUUUAUUUAGAAAUCCAUAUUAGGAGAUGGAUUUCUGUAGAGCUGUAUAAUGUAGUGUCAUUUCAUGUUUGUUAUUUUCCCUUAAUCCCUCUAUUCCACCCCAUCCCUUCCUUCCCACAUCAUUCCCUUUUCUCCCCCCUUCCAUUUGGUGGGUCAGAUCAGCCCACGACUUUGUACAUAUGGACUAAUGAUUAUGGAGAGCGAGGUGUAACGAGACGGUAGUACCUAGUUUGCUGAUGUGAUUUUUGUAUUUGUAAAUAUGUUUUAGGGUUUGUAUGCAGCCAAUAAACAUGUGGAUCAUCCGUU